rnacentral:lncRNA from 1 species
UCGUGGGGGAAGGCGGCGGAUUUCGCAAGCCGGCGGGUCAAGGAGGAGGAUCCCCACCAAACACACGAAAAGGCCUCGGAUCCGUGGGUUUACUCACGGAUUUCUCCACCGAUUUCUCGCCGGAAGGGCCGCCGGAGCAUCCCGCCGGACCAAGGUAAGCCCUUGUGCUUCAUUGAUUGGUUUUUGGAUGGUGUUGGUGGAGUUUUGGCCGGUGAAGCCGUCGGAGAGGGAUCCGAAAUAGGGUACCCCUGUUUCGGCCCCUUUCUUUCGGAUUUCGCCGCCGCCGGCCGCCGGUUGGCCGGGAUCCAUGGCAUAUGGGGGGGUUGGACGGGACUGUGUUGGUUUGU